AUGGGGCUGCUAGCACUCAGAAGGGGGAGAAUCACUGUGAAGGAGGGUUGGGCUCUUUUACCAUUACCAUUACCAUUGCUUCAACUCGGUCUUCAGGAGCUUUGCCUUGACUCAUCACAAGCUGGCUGGACAGACUGCGGUACAGCACACGGACAGAGAGCAGAUUGGGCGCCCCUCACUCUGGGUUCACCAGCAGAGCAGAGGACUGAGGUCAGCCUGAAUGCCUCCGUGUUCUCAGGAGCCAUGACUCAGAGGUUCAUUCGCAGUUCCUCAGCGCUGCACACAGACGUUCCUCUGUAGGCUGGCGGCCCCCAUACCAGAAGCCCUGCUCCUGGCAGCAUGCAGCCCUCCCCACCUCACCGUGCCCCUCAGAACUGUGUUCUUGCCUGGAGGGCUUGGAGAAGGAGCCUCCAUAAGCCAUAAAUUGCCUCCCCCUCUGCUGGAGAAAAAAAUCAAAGCAUCCUGGGCUCCCUUGGGUUUCGCAGCACCCCUGGGCUCUGAGAGCCCGGUUGAAGUGGGUGUCUCUCAUUGGUAUGGGGAAAAUGGGAGAAACCUCAAGAGUUCAGUCUCAGCUGCAUCAAUCCAUUCAUCCUUCCCACUUCAAAGCACCUCAGCCUCACCAGGGACCAUGGUGGGUAUCGUGACAGAGCACACUGGCGAAGCAGGCCCCGCGGCAGUGAAGGAAGGAGCAGCCUCUCUCUUUUUCUCGGAUGGGAAUGGCAAUUGCUUGCUUGCCUCAUCUGAAAGCUCACCAUAGUCCCUGCUAAGUGCAGAGACUGAACAUGCAAUGCAGGGCUAGGGGCUGUGGUGAAUGCAAUGUCACCAUUUUUGGCUAUUCAUAAAUCUGUCCUUCCAUCCACAUCAUCUGCCCUAAUUAGAUAGCAGACCUCACCAGGAAGGUCUCUGUGAGCAGGAGAGAUCCAAAUCUCUCCAGGCAGAAGCUGUUUUAAAGGAGGCCCUGUGCAACCACGCUACUUGGGACUCACCAAAAUAUGGUGCCAGGAGAAAGAGCAGAACUCUCUUGAGAUGCUCUGAAUGUUUGUUUGGUUUUUGUUGUUUGAUUGCUUGUUUUUGUGAGUGCUUCAUAUUUCAUGCAUCCAUAAACAGCAGCACAAGGGCCCAGUUAACCCAAAAUGAGUCUACCAGUAAAGGACAAAGCUGGAAGAUGAUCUUUUGCAAACCUAUGCAUGAGCCAGUUGCACUGAACCCCCAUACUCCUGGGGCUGCUCUUGGCCAGAAGAGACAGUAAUGUUAGGGCAUGGUCUUGCUUGACUCACCUCACUUGUAGCCCUGAUUUUACCUAGAAACAAAACAGACCAGCUCCACAGUUUGAAUGCUGCUAUGCCCAGCUCCACAUAGGGCUGUGUGUAUUCGUACCUCACAGCCCAGCCAUGCCCCAACCACUGGGGAGUUUUUCUCUUAGCUGUAUGUCUCCUUUUCUUUCUUCCCUGGCAUCCAGCACCACAUCAGCCCAUUUAAAUUUUCUUAUUUUCCCUGCCUAAUAACAGAGACCGACUUUACUGGUAGACCCAGUUGAAUUAUUCACUGCAAUCAUUAUCAUUAAUCCAGUCUAUUUGCUGAGCCAGCCCUGAUGGGUUGAUGGGUGAAUGUAUUUGUCAUUCAUAAGUAUUUGCCAAAAUAGCCUGGGUGAGCCAUUUCUCCCCAGGCCAUUCAAUAGUAGCUAUUUGUGUUCCCUUCCAUUAAAACUCAUCUCCCACACAGCCACCAGUACAAGUGCAGGCUUAAACCAGACCUGGAUGCUGUUUUGAGCACGUUGUUCCCCUGCCCCAUUGCUGCCCUGUCAGCUCAUCUGUGCUGCCAGUAAGGCACAAAGCAACUUGGCUACACUGGUUCCCAGAUACAGUCCUGCAAUUCCUCACAUUAAUAAUUUUUCCCCCUGUAACUACUACUUUUUUCCCCCCUCUCUCUCAGGUCAUGGCUUUUUCUGGCUGUGGACACAAGAGUUACGUGGAUUUUCUAUUUGCUUCUUCAAAAGCGCACGUGCAAAUGGGUGGGGAAAAUGUACUAAGUGCCAAAGAUUAUAUUUCUCCAAGUGUUAUAGUGGGUUCUAUGGUUACGGUUACAGAGAGCAAAGGAAAUGCAAACGUUGAAGUGGCUGCAGGAGCUGGAACUGAGCCUUUCUGCAUAGGGCUGGUGUGUAUUUAGCAUUCACAGCCAUGGACUAGGUCACCUGUCUGAAAGUAUACCCCAUGUACUGUGCUGAAGCCCAGUCUGCUGUCGGAGCAAUUCUGGCAAGCCCAGAAGUUCCAUAAACUGCAAACUGUUUGGCUUAUUUUCACAUCCUAAACCUCGAUAAGGAGAAAAACUGCCACAUCUUUCAUCACAGAGAAUCCUUUAUGGUUUCUGUGUAAUUCAGAGUCACUUACAAACAAUGCCAUAUGUGAUUAUUGCCAUACAUGUAUUGCAUCUGGAGGGUUCAGCCCUUAUGGGGUAAUGUGGCAAAAAAAUAAAAUAAAAAUCCCUAUUGAUGACA
ensembl:lncRNA